rnacentral:rRNA from 1 species
GCAGUAGCCGCGGUAAUACGUAGGGUGCGAGCGUUAAUCGGAAUUACUGGGCGUAAAGCGUGCGCAGGCGGUUCUGUAAGACAGGCGUGAAAUCCCCGGGCUCAAUCUGGGAAUGGCGCUUGUGACUGCAAAGCUAGAGUGCGGCAGAGGGGGAUGGAAUUCCGCGUGUAGCAGUGAAAUGCGUAGAUAUGCGGAGGAACACCGAUGGCGAAGGCAAUCCCCUGGGCCUGCACUGACGCUCAUGCACGAAAGCGUGGGGAGCAAACAGGAUUAGAUACCCGCGUAGUCCCUGUCUCUUAUAC